rnacentral:lncRNA from 1 species
GAACAGCCCUCUUUAAUCUAAAUUUUCUCCUCUAAAAUUCAGCCUGCUGAAUCUAAACGAAGCCUGCAUCGCGAUUAAUACUUGAUCUUUUUCCUUGAUCUUCUUCUUCUUCUCUUCUCUAGAGUUUCUCCUUACUGUGUGCUGCUACCAGAUGUUAGAAACCAACAAGGAAUAGGCACCCAACAGCCUUGGGCAUGGAAUAUCUUGGGAUGCGCAUCCCAAGAGAAGGGGCAUGUAUAACGCCCAAGAGAGAAGGGAAAAAGGGAGGAAGAGAGGGUGUGGAUGUAGCAAAAAUUUUGUGCAGGGGCAAAAUGGUAAUUUUAAAUUUUUUUCAAAAUUACUAUUUUACAGUGAAAUUAUUAAUUAAUCUCAUUAAUUAAUACUAAUUAACCCUAUACUAGGAUCUAAAAAUAUGAUACAACAGCAUGCAUUUAAAUUUGAAAUUCAAAUUUGAAUCAGUAAACCUUUUACAGUACUGUGUUCAGAAUACAUCACCUUUUGCGGGUAGUCGAUCACCGC